GGGGAAUAUUGGACAAUGGGGGGAACCCUGAUCCAGCCAUGCCGCGUGUGUGAAGAAGGCCUUAUGGUUGUAAAGCACUUUAAGCGAGGAGGAGGCUCUUUUGGUUAAUACCCAAGAUGAGUGGACGUUACUCGCAGAAUAAGCACCGGCUAACUCUGUGCCAGCAGCCGCGGUAAUACAGAGGGUGCGAGCGUUAAUCGGAUUUACUGGGCGUAAAGCGUGCGUAGGCGGCUUUUUAAGUCGGAUGUGAAAUCCCCGAGCUUAACUUGGGAACUGCGCUUGUGACUGCAAGACUAGAGUACGGCAGAGGGGGGUGGAAUUCCACGUGUAGCAGUGAAAUGCGUAGAGAUGUGGAGGAACACCAAUUGCGAAGGCAGCCCCCUGGGUCGAUACUGACGCUCAUGCACGAAAGCGUGGGGAGCAAACA
rnacentral:rRNA from 1 species